UUUUUAUGAAAAAUGAUAAUAUGCAGUGAAAUGAAAUGAAGAUGAUUAAUUUGAAACAUUAAUCAACUGGGAUGAAAUGAAAUGAGAUGAGAUGAUAUGGGAUGAAAUAUAAUCUCAGUAAAAUGGUGGUCAUUUACUGAGAUUUCUUUAGUGGACUUUUUGGAGGAUCCCGAGAAGUUACGUCCAGUGGCUUUGUUUCAUUUUCCCACAUUUGUGCACUUUCACAGAUAUUAAACAGUUAAAAAACCACCGUUAUUACACAUUUAAACCUGAAGAAAAACUAAAUAGACAAAAUAAAAAAGACUCGUAGAGAAGAACAUAGAUUAAGCAAACUAUAACAAUAUUUUUUGCUGUAUUGGGCAAACGAUUCCACGAUAGUAAUUUCCAGUCGCUUAUGGGCAUCGACAACGCUAGGGGCACAAUCAAAUCGCUCACCAUGGCGAUAUAGAAAUAACAACUCUCUACUGGUGGUAGGACCUCUUGUGAGUCCGCACGGGUAGGUACCACCAUCCUGCCUAUUUCUGCCGUGAAGCAGUAAUGCGUUUCGGUUUGAAGGGUGGGGCAGCCGUUGUAACAAUACUGAGACCUUAGAACUUAUAUCUCAAGGUGGGUGGCGCAUUUACGUUGUAGAUGUCUAUGGGCUCCAGUAACCACUUAACACCAGGUGGGCUGUGGGCACGUCCAUCCCUCUAAGCAAUAAAAAAAAACUUCAGUGUUGCCUUAUUUAAUUUUAGUGUUGCCUAAUUGGAUUAUCUACUGUAGUUAAAACUUCAGUAUCAAGGUACAUUUAGUGCGUCAGUUUACAGUUAGCUGUAGAGUGUGACAUAGCUACAUUUGGCUGCAGGUACAUUAUGUCUGGAGACGGCGUGGGUGUCGCAGGCCGCCGCCAAGCAGAGGUGCGGACGAGCCGGGAGAGUGCGACCGGAAUUUCUGUAAAUAAAACGGCUGUCUGCAAGAGAUCGCUUUUAGCGAUAAGGCCGCCUAUUGUACAACUAUAUCUGCCUGAUGACUGUUUUUUUUAAAAUGUUAAUUGUGUUUCAGUGUGCAAGAAAGUAUAUUCUCUCUC